rnacentral:rRNA from 1 species
GACGUAGGGCGCGAGCGUUGGCCGGAUUUAUUGGGCGUAAAGAGCUCGUAGGCGGCUUGUCGCGUCGUCCGUGAAAACCUGGGGCUCAACCCCAGGCUUGCGGUCGAUACGGGCAGGCUCGAGUUCGGUAGGGGAGACUGGAAUUCCUGGUGUAGCGGUGAAAUGCGCAGAUAUCAGGAGGAACACCGGUGGCGAAGGCGGGUCUCUGGGCCGAUACUGACGCCGAGGAGCGAAAGCGUGGGGAGCGAACAGG